rnacentral:rRNA from 1 species
AUUGAACGCUGGCGGCAGGCCUAACACAUGCAAGUCGAGCGGCAGCGGGAAAGUAGCUUGCUACUUUUGCCGGCGAGCGGCGGACGGGUGAGUAAUGCCUGGGAAAUUGCCCAGUCGAGGGGGAUAACAGUUGGAAACGACUGCUAAUACCGCAUACGCCCUACGGGGGAAAGCAGGGGACCUUCGGGCCUUGCGCGAUUGGAUAUGCCCAGGUGGGCUUAGCUAGUUGGUGAGGUAAUGGCUCACCAAGGCGACGAUCCCUAGCUGGUCUGAGAGGAUGAUCAGCCACACUGGAACUAAGACACGGUCCAGACUCCUACGGGAGGCAGCAGUGGGGAAUAUUGCACAAUGGGGGAAACCCUGAUGCAGCCAUGCCGCGUGUGUGAAGAAGGCCUUCGGGUUGUAAAGCACUUUCAGCGAGGAGGAAAGGUUGAUGCCUAAUACGUAUCAACUGUGACGUUACUCGCAGAAGAAGCACCGGCUAACUCCGUGCCAGCCGCCGCCGUAAUAC